rnacentral:rRNA from 1 species
AGUGAACGCUGGCGGUAGGCCUAACACAUGCAAGUCGAACGGCAGCACAGGAGAGCUUGCUCUCUGGGUGGCGAGUGGCGGACGGGUGAGGAAUACAUCGGAAUCUACUCUGUCGUGGGGGAUAACGUAGGGAAACUUACGCUAAUACCGCAUACGACCUACGGGUGAAAGCAGGGGAUCUUCGGACCUUGCCCGAUUGAAUGAGCAGAUGUCGGAUUAGCUAGUGGGCGGGGUAAAGGCCCACCAAGGCGACGAUCCGUAGCUGGUCUGAGAGGAUGAUCAGCCACACUGGAACUGAGACACGGUCCAGACUCCUACGGGAGGCAGCAGUGGGGAAUAUUGGACAAUGGGCGCAAGCCUGAUCCAGCCAUACCGCGUGGGUGAAGAAGGCCUUCGGGUUGUAAAGCCCUUUUGUUGGGAAAGAAAUCCAGCUGGCUAAUACCCGGUUGGGAUGACGGUACCCAAAGAAUAAGCACCGGCUAACUUCGCGCCAGCCGCCGCCGUAA